rnacentral:rRNA from 1 species
GAUGAACGCUGGCGGCGUGCCUAAUACAUGCAAGUCGAGCGAACAGACGAGGAGCUUGCUCCUCUGACGUUAGCGGCGGACGGGUGAGUAACACGUGGAUAACCUACCUAUAAGACUGGGAUAACUUCGGGAAACCGGAGCUAAUACCGGAUAAUAUAUUGAACCGCAUGGUUCAAUAGUGAAAGACGGUUUUGCUGUCACUUAUAGAUGGAUCCGCGCCGCAUUAGCUAGUUGGUAAGGUAACGGCUUACCAAGGCGACGAUGCGUAGCCGACCUGAGAGGGUGAUCGGCCACACUGGAACUGAGACACGGUCCAGACUCCUACGGGAGGCAGCAGUAGGGAAUCUUCCGCAAUGGGCGAAAGCCUGACGGAGCAACGCCGCGUGAGUGAUCAAGGUCUUCGGAUCGUAAAACUCUGUUAUUAGGGAAGAACAAAUGUGUAAGUAACUAUGCACGUCUUGACGGUACCUAAUCAGAAAGCCACGGCUAACUACGUG